UACGGGGGGGGGCAAGCGUUACUCGGAAUUAUUGGGCGUAAAGGGCGCGUAGGCGGUCGUGUGCGUCGGAGGUGAAAUCCCCAGGCUUAACCUGGGAACUGCCUCCGAUACGGCAUGGCUUGAGUCCGGGAGAGGGGAGCAGAAUUCCCAGUGUAGCGGUGAAAUGCGUAGAUAUUGGGAGGAAUACCAGUGGCGAAGGCGGCUCCCUGGACCGGUACUGACGCUGAGGCGCGAAAGCGUGGGUAGCAAACAGG
rnacentral:rRNA from 1 species